rnacentral:rRNA from 1 species
AAUAUUGGACAAUGGGCGAGGGCCUGAUCCAGCCAUGCCGCGUGCAGGAAGACCGCCCUAUGGGUCGUAAACUGCUUUUGUACGGGAAGAACCGGGGGCACGCGUGCCCCCCUGACGGUACCGUAAGAAUAAGGAUCGGCUAACUCCGUGCCAGCAGCCGCGGUAAUACGGAGGAUCCGAGCGUUAUCCGGAAUCAUUGGGUUUAAAGGGUCCGUAGGCGGGCCGUUAAGUCAGGGGUGAAAGUCUGCGGCUCCACCGUAGCACUGCCCUUGAUACUGGCGGCCUGGAGUUAUGGUGAAGUGGCCAGAAUAUGUGGUGUAGCGGUGAAAUGCAUAGAUAUCACAUGGAAUACCGAUUGCGAAGGCAGGCCACUAACCAUAUACUGACGCUGAUGGACGAAAGCGUGGGGAGCGAACAGG